GUGUAGCCAUUUAAGUGAGUUUAGAUGCGCUGCUCUGUUUUGUAUUCAUAUUUCUUUUUCAACAUGAAGAUGGUUGUCAGCAAGCGUUCUGUGUUCUUCCCUCUCUCAGCUGAAGAGAGAGAGCAGUGUGAAGCGUGUGGACUUUGAAGAGGGCUACAUCAACAUCUACCUCGACAGGCGUGCGUACCAGGGAGCCCUGUUCCCAUCAUGCUUGUGUUUACAUUCCUGUGCUCCUCCCUCACUGUUCUUCUGUGUGCAGCUGAAGAAGGAGGUGUUGAGGAGCUACAGCGUGACCCUGGAGGAGGAGGAGGCCGUCAGGAACCUGAGGCCGGCCGUGGUGAAGGUGUACGACUACUACCAGACAAGUGACGAGGCAGUGGCAGACUACUCCUCCCCUUGUGCGGAGCGUGAUGAUGUGAAUGAUCUACUAUUGGAACGAUCGGAGCCACCAACAAGAAGCACAUCAAUCAAAUUAAAGCCGGACUAAUGGUUUGAAUUAUGGCAGGAAACUGACUCCAUAGGGGUGUUGCAAAACAACCUGCAAAAAACCCCACAGCUGAGACUUGCAGGAGCAGAUUCGAGCAGUUGUAAAAUGGUUUUGUGCUCGCUCAUUAAAAUGCUGAAUUAACAUAGCGUUCACAGAUGUGCAACUUCUGAUGCAUUUGUUCAAAUUUGGGUUUACGAAUGCACACCUUUUGGGCAUGUUCUCAGAUUAUGAAACACGGGUGUGCGAAUGUGUUUUGCACCAACUGCGCUGCAAUAAUUGUAGCAAAAGGAUUUGUGCACCUGUAACACAGAUUAGCGUACUCGUAGACCCUAUUUUGUGUUUACAAUGGUAUAAAAAAUAUUUUAUUUUUUUUACGACUACAAAUGUACUGUUACACAUUUGUGACUUUAGAGUACACAUGCAAAAUAAAUAUAUACGACUUCAAAUUUACUGUGACUUUUGUGUACGCAUUCAAAUUCUGCAGUUACAGGUGCUAAAGACUUUUGCUACAAUAAUACCUUCAUAAUUCUGAUACACCUACUUCUAGACAUCGUAACUCAUUCCUUUUUCAACCGUUUACCAUCGUUCAAACCAUUAAACAAAUCUACACACUUGUAUCUUCAAUACUAUCCAAACGGAAUUUUUAUAGCAUUUAUACUUUUUUCAGAAUCACAGUUUUAGUUUCAAACCGGCGUCGUUUUCAGUUGCUUAUAAUAAUUUAGGUCACCAUAGCAACGCCGGUAAACAAACCCCGCCGAAUAGUUGAAUCUCUGGACUGAAAAGGCAGAUCUGAGGUGCGUUCAGAAUCGCGAACGUUCGCGAACGAUUUUAAACAUUUUCCGUUAAACGAACAUAAGCAAGCAAACGUUUACGAACAUAGGCAAACUGUCUGAAGAGGUAGUUCUCCACAAACAGAUGCUCUCUUCGGCUACGUGACAUUCGUUGCCAUGGCAUUAAACUAAACUAUAUUAAUAAUAAUAAUAAUAAUAAUAAUACAUUUAAUUUAGAGGCGCCUUUCAAGACACCCAAGGUCACCUUACAGAGCAUAUAGUCAUCAUACAUUAUUUAAAAAACAAGACAUUGUGUAAAAAUAAAUAAACAUAAGCAAUAAGAAAUAAAUAAAACAAAAACAAGACAAAACAAAACAAAAAAAAACAAUCAAAACAGUGAUCAGUUAGACGUUGUGUGCGAGUUUGAACAGGUGAGUUUUGAGUUGUGACUUGAAGGUUGUAAUGGUGUCUGAUUGUUUUAUGUGUGGGGGGAAGGAGUUCCAGAGCCUGGGUGCUGAACAGCUGAAUGACCGGGCACCCAUUGUAGUGAGUCGUGAUGUGGGGAUACAUAGUAGUCCAGCAGAGGUUGAGCGGAGGGAGCGGGAGGAAGUGUAUUCUUGGAGGAGGUCACAGAGAUAACUGGGGGCUAGGUUGUGGAGAGCUUUGUAGGUGAGGAGUAGGGUUUUGUAUUGGAUACGGUAGUGUACUGGGAGCCAGUGAAGUUGAAUGAGGACAGGGGUGAUUGUCAGAUGAUUUGGUGCAGGUGAUGAUCCGGGCGGCUGAGUUCUGAAUGAUCUGCAGUCUGUUGAUGAGUUUGGUGGGGAGUCCGGUGAGGAGGGCGUUGCAGUAGUCCAUGCGUGAUGUGACAAAUGAGUGAACUAGGAUUUCAGUGCUGGAUUGGGUCAGUAAUGGGCGGAGUCUGGCGAUGUUGCGGAGGUGGAAGAAUGCAGUCCGGGUGAUGUUGUGAAUAUGGGGUGCGAAUGAGAGGGUGUUGUCCAUAUUAUAUAUUGAUUUAAUAUAUAUCCAUAUUGAAAUCAUUUACUCCUUUCCUACACAGAAAGCAAUAGAUAAAACGUUUCUUUUGCAUCCUAAAAUGCGAUUUGAACGUUAUAUCGCAGUAAGUGGGUACAACUUCGGUGACGUAGCCCUCUAUUCUUGAAUUUUCCGUACUGGUUGUCUGCAGUAGGCUUUCAAUGAGGUCGACCACUUGCAAACCCUCUUCUGUAAACUCUUCCAUUAACAUGGAGGCUGCCGCUAAUACCAUGGCCUUCGUAUCCAUUUUUUUCGUUUACAGUUUGUUUAGAACGGUGUUCAAAAAUCGUUCAAAAUUAAUUGUUUAAUGUCAACGCGUUCGUUGCGAACGUUCGCCUAUGUUCGCUGAACUUGAACGCACCUCUGAUUCGACUCAGAAAAUUCAGAGUCUGGGACCCUGAAUGAAUCUGUAAACUGGCAGUUUACACAGAUUAAGAUGUUCAAAUGUAUUUAAAAAAGGUUAAGCUAAAACAUGCUUAGAUAAAGUUUUCAAAUUGUGUUGUUUAAAAACGCAAAAAGAUGUAAUGUUUCAGAAAUAUGUUUAGAAAAUAUGUUCCAAAUGUUUUAAAAUUAUGAUCGGAGUUGUUUGAAAUGUG
ensembl:lncRNA